rnacentral:rRNA from 1 species
CUACAGAAGAAGCACCGGCUAACUCCGUGCCAGCAGCCGCGGUAAUACGGAGGGUGCGAAGCGUUAAUCGGAAUUACUGGGGCGUAAAGCGCAUGCAGGCGGCCUGUUAAGUCAGAUGUGAAAGCCCGGGGCUUAACCUCGGAAUUGCAUUUGAAACUGGCAGGCUAGAGUCUUGUAGAGGGGGGUAGGAAUUUCAGGUGUAGCGGUGAAAUGCGUAGAGAUCUGAAGGAAUACCAGUGGCGAAGGCGGCCCCCUGGACAAAGACUGACGCUCAGAUGCGAAAGCGUGGGGAGCAAACAGGAUUAGAUACCCUGGUAG